AGCGAACGCUGGCGGCAGGCCUAACACAUGCAAGUCGAGCGCCCAGCAAUGGGAGCGGCAGACGGGUGAGUAACGCGUGGGGAUCCGCCCAAUGGUACGGAGUAACCCAGGGAAACUUGGACUAAUACCGUAUGUGCCCUUCGGGGGAAAGAUUUAUCGCCAUUGGAUGAACCCGCGUCGGAUUAGCUAGUUGGUGAGGUAAAGGCUCACCAAGGCGACGAUCCGUAGCUGGUCUGAGAGGAUGAUCAGCCACACUGGGACUGAGACACGGCCCAGACUCCUACGGGAGGCAGCGGUGGGGAAUAUUGGACAAUGGGCGCAAGCCUGAUCCAGCCAUGCCGCGUGUGUGAUGAAGGCCUUAGGGUUGUAAAGCACUUUCGCCGGUGAAGAUAAUGACGGUAACCGGAGAAGAAGCCCCGGCUAACUUCGUGCCAGCAGCCGCCGUAAGAC
rnacentral:rRNA from 1 species